rnacentral:misc_RNA from 1 species
AUGGGAGCCAGCCUGCUGGCGAUCGCGGCAAAUCAGUCACGGAGAUAUCGACUGAUUUGCCGUCAUCGCCAGCAGGCUGGCUCCCAC